GGGCGAUUAGCUCAGUUGGCUAGAGCGCCUGGUCGACAUCCAGGAGGUCACAGGUUCAAGUCCUGUAUCGCCCA
rnacentral:tRNA from 1 species